rnacentral:rRNA from 1 species
AUUGUUAGUUGUCCAUCAUUCAGUUGGGCACUCUAGCGAGACUGCCGGUAAUAAACCGGAGGAAGGUGGGGAUGACGUCAAAUCAUCACUGCCCCUUAUGACCUGGGCUACACACGUGCUACAAUGGUUGGUACAACGAGUUGCGAGUCGGUGACGGCGAGCUAAUCUCUUAAAGCCAAUCUCAGUUCGGAUUGUAGGCUGCAACUCGCCUACAUGAAGUCGGAAUCGCUAGUAAUCGCGGAUCAGCACGCCGCGGUGAAUACGUUCCCGGGCCCUU